CAGCAGCCGCGGUAAUACGUAUGUCACGAGCGUUAUCCGGAUUUAUUGGGCGUAAAGCGCGUCUAGGUGGUUAUAUAAGUCUGAUGUGAAAAUGCAGGGCUCAACUCUGUAUUGCGUUGGAAACUGUAUAACUAGAGUACUGGAGAGGUAAGCGGAACUACAAGUGUAGAGGUGAAAUUCGUAGAUAUUUGUAGGAAUGCCGAUGGGGAAGCCAGCUUACUGGACAGAUACUGACGCUGAAGCGCGAAAGCGUGGGUAGCAAACAGGAUUAGAUACCCCGGUAGUCCCUGUCUCUUAUACC
rnacentral:rRNA from 1 species